rnacentral:rRNA from 1 species
CCUACGGGUGGCAGCAGUGGGGAAUAUUGCACAAUGGGGGAAACCCUGAUGCAGCAACGCCGCGUGAAGGAAGACGGUUUUCGGAUUGUAAACUUCUAUCAAUAGGGAAGAAAGAAAUGACGGUACCUAAAUAAGAAGCCCAGGCUAACUACGUGCCAACAGUCGCGGUAAUACGUAGGGGGCAAGCGUUAUCCGGAAUGACUGGGUGUAAAGGGAGAGUAGGCGGCAAGGUAAGCGAUAUGUGAAAGCCUUAAGCUUAACUUAAGGAUGGCAUAACGAACUAUCUAGCGAGAGUACAGUAGAGGAAAGCGGAAUUCCUAGUGUAGCGGUGAAGUGCGUAGAUAUUAGGAAGAACACCAGUGGCGAAGGCGGCUUUCUGGACUGAAACUGACGCUGAGGCUCGAAAGCGUGGGGAGCGAACAGUAUUAGAUACCCCUGUAGUC